rnacentral:misc_RNA from 1 species
AACGCACGAGACCUGCGGACCUGCGGAAGGAUCAUUACAGAGUUCGUGCCCUCUGGGUAGAUCUCCCACCCACUGUUUUCCUUACGACCGUUGCUUUGGCGGGCCGCCGGCCCUGCCCGGCCGCCGGCGCCCAGCUGGCGCGCGCCCGCCAGAGGCCCUCCAGACUCUGAAUGUUAGCGUCGUCUGAGUACCACAUAAUAAGUUAAAACUUUUAGCAAUGGAUCUCUAGAUCGGAAGAGC